AGACAGCAGUCGCCGCGGUAAUACGUAGGGUGCAAGCGUUAAUCGGAAUUACUGGGCGUAAAGCGUGCGCAGGCGGUUAUAUAAGACAGAUGUGAAAUCCCCGGGCUCAACCUGGGAACUGCAUUUGUGACUGUAUAGCUAGAGUACGGCAGAGGGGGAUGGAAUUCCGCGUGUAGCAGUGAAAUGCGUAGAUAUGCGGAGGAACACCGAUGGCGAAGGCAAUCCCCUGGGCCUGUACUGACGCUCAUGCACGAAAGCGUGGGGAGCAAACAGGAUUAGAUACCCCAGUAGUCCCUGUCUCUUAUAC
rnacentral:rRNA from 1 species